rfam:Dipodomys ordii contig_16639, whole genome shotgun sequence.
GGUGGCUCACUGGUAGAGUGCUUGCCUUGCAUGCAUGAGGCCUUGGGUUCGAUUCCUCAGCACCA